AAUUUAUUGCUUGAUUUUCGGCAAUAAAAACAGUCAAUCCUCCCAAAAUUAGUGUCUCUGUUUUGUUUCAUCUACUAUUAUUUAAUAAUCAAAAAAUAUUACAAAAGUAAAAAAAAAAAAUCGUAUAUCUCUGCCUUCCUAAAAAAAACGGGUUUCAUACCAUAUUUACCAUCUAAUCUCUUUGUCUUCCUAAAAACAUUCCCAAUUCUCAAGAUUACUUCCCGUAUGAUUUCAAGAUGAGAAGAUACUCAUCAACAAUUAGUGCCUCUGUAAUGUUUACAAAAUCCUUUAAGCAAGUAACACUUCCUCAGAUCUGAAUCUUUAUUAACUGAAAUUUAGGGAUUUCUACAUGGAAAGGAUUCACAAUCGAAGUACGAAUAGUGAGAUUGUGGCACGUUCCAGAUCGCGACAAACCAGACAACACUGUCUCCCUUGAAUUAAUUAUUCAAGACGAAAAGGGCGAUCGUAUUCAUGCGACUGUUGGUCGGUCUCUUAUACGUAUGUUCAAACCAAAGAUAAAAGAAUUGGGUUUGUACUUUAUGAAGAACUUUGUGGUUGGACCAAAUUAUACGAAACUUAAAUAAACGCGGCAUAAAUUGAAGUUGGCAUUUACUCAUAAGACGAUUGUAGAGGAAGCAAAUGAUCAUCUUUUUGGUAUGAGUAUCUUCGACUUAAAACCUUAUGAGUAUUUGAUAAACAAAAUUGAUGUUGAAGAAAGUGAACUUUUCGAUUAUUAUAGAUGUCAUUGGAGAGGUUGUAAGUUAUGGUGAAGUAGAAUCCCAUAACCAAGGUGAUAAAACCAGCACUUAUAUGAAUGUGGAACUUGAAGAUUAUGAGAGGAAUAGUAUCCCGGCAACAUUUUGGGGAGAAUUCGUUGACUAAAUCUUGCCACAUUUAGAGGGAUCACCCCAUCGGAGGGUCAUAGUUGUUAUGCAGUUGAUAAAAGCACACAAAUUUCAAGGCAAAUAUCAUGUGCGUAAUACUUGGCAUGCCUCAAAGCUCUGUAUUACCCGGAUCUUCCUCAAGCUGUUGAUUUUAAGUCGAGAUUGGCAAGAGUGAAUGAAGCUAACUCUGCCAGGAUCAGUCAAAUACCUUUUCAGCGUAGUUAUUCUGUUUCUGAUGAGUUGGCUACUGAAACUGUAGAAGUUAAAACUAUUAGAGAAUUGGUCGACUGCAUGGAGGAAGGACAUAUUUGGAUUGUUGCGACUGUAGUGAAUCUUCUACUUGAAAAAGAAUGGUCAUAUUUGGGGUGCAAGAGAUGCUCGAAGAAGGUUGACAAAAUUGGAAGUAAAUUUCACUGCAAGAAAUGUGAUCGGCUUGAUAGUUCUGCUA